GACGAACGCUGGCGGCGUGCUUAACACAUGCAAGUCGAGCGGUAAGGCCCUUUCGGGGGUACACGGGCGGCGAACGGGUGAGUAACACGUGGGUGACCUGCCCUCAGCUCUGGGAUAAGCCUGGGAAACCGGGUCUAAUACUGGAUAUGACUCCAUGACGCAUGUUGUGGGGUGGAAAGCCUUGUGCGGCUGAGGAUGGGCCCGCGGCCUAUCAGCUUGUUGGUGGGGUGANGGCCUACCAAGGCGACGACGGGUAGCCGGCCUGAGAGGGCGACCGGCCACACUGGGACUGAGACACGGCCCAGACUCCUACGGGAGGCAGCAGUGGGGAGUCUUGCGCAAUGGGCGAAAGCCUGACGCAGCGACGCCGCGUGAGGGAUGACGGCCUCGGUUGUAACGUC
rnacentral:rRNA from 1 species